ACUUAUCCAGCUUAGUCUAUUGAGCUCUUUCUUAAAGAAAAAAAAAAACUUAAUUUCUCUACAAUGAAGGCGUUUAUCUUAGCUUUUGUGCUAUUUUAUACAUGUUCUGCAUUUAAACAUAAUGUCCACCCAGAUUUGGUAAAAUCAUGGGAUAAAAUGGUGGGCCGUCAUAGAGAAAGAUGCAUAGCUGAAACUAAAGUUGAUAAAGAAGACGCAAUGGGAGCAGUUUUAGCUAUGGACCUUCCAGAGUAUUACGAAUAUAAAUGUUUUGCAUACUGUAUCUGGAGGGAGUCGGAAUUCUAUAACCCCCAGACAAAACAACUUAAUUACGCGAAUAUUGUAAGAGGAGUAACAGGAUUUACGAAGGAGAACACAAAACAGUGCUAUAAAAAAUACAAGAAUACUGGCGAUCACUGUGAAAGGAUCUACGGUAUUGUAACAUGUGGUAUUGGGAAGCUUAGUUUUUAAUCAGUAUUCACAUUUUUUAUUAAUAUUGAUUUUUUUGUCAAAAUGUUUUAUUUGUAACAAAUUGUGUAGGUACAAAUGUUAAAAAUGCCUAAUUUUUAGUAAUUAA